CACGCUGUAUGGCAUGUGUGCCCAGCAGUGUCUUCCUGAUGUGUUCAAAAAGCAGCACUACAGUGUUUCAGCUGCUGGCAUCAUGGUUUUAAUGUGGACAUGCUGAUUGAACUUGGUGUUUCUGUUGAAACAAGU
rfam:Anas platyrhynchos breed Pekin duck contig26580, whole genome shotgun sequence.